rnacentral:rRNA from 1 species
CUACGGGGGGCAGCAGUGGGGAAUAUUGCGCAAUGGGCGAAAGCCUGACGCAGCAACGCCGCGUGAGUGAAGAAGGCCCUCGGGUCGUAAAGCUCUGUCAGAGGGGAAGAACGGACGUAUCUCUAAUAUAGAUACGAAGUGACGGUACCCUCGGAGGAAGCACCGGCUAACUCCGUGCCAGCAGCCGCGGUAAUACGGAGGGUGCAAGCGUUGUUCGGAAUUACUGGGCGUAAAGCGCGUGUAGGCGGUUUGGUGAGUCCCGUGUGAAAGCCCUCGGCUUAACCGAGGAAUUGCGCGGGAUACUGCCAAGCUGGAAUACGGGAGAAGUGGGUGGAAUUCCUAGUGUAGCGGUGAAAUGCGUAGAUAUUAGGAGGAACACCAGCGGCGAAAGCGACUCACUAGCCCGAUAUUGACGCUAAGACGCGAAAGCGUGGGGAUCAAACAGGAUUAGAUACCCCCGUAGUC